rnacentral:lncRNA from 1 species
UAAAUCAGUCCUUGUAGUUUUGCUGAUGAAAUGAAAUACUGUAAAUAUUUGUAACAUAUUUGUGUCUCACCUGUUCAAGAAGGAAGAACAUGGCUAUGGGCUCCUUCUACCUGCUCAAGGACAGUCUGAUGACAGAUAGCAAACGCAGGAUGAAGGCCUUCAAAGGCACUGGAAAACAAAGGCGAAUUCUGUGAGGAGGAGGUAAUUUGGAGAUGAUUUGUCACUGCCAUACUUCAUAUGUGUUGUCACCCUGUCCCUUUACCUUGGAUGUCCUUUUUUACUCACUCAGUAAUCUAAAGAAAUACACUGAGGACAAAAAACAAACUGUUCUGAAGAAAAAUCAUGUUUUUCACUUUAUGCCUCCAUUUAGAGUUACCUAAGAAAUUUAUUCAGAAUCGGCGACUUCAGACAUUGCGGUUAUGACUAAGUGAUAUUUCCAGAUAUGAAAACAUUGUCAGAAAGUACUCGACCAGCUUUUUCCCACUUCUUUGAGCAACCCAGCUGUGACUGCCAGAGCUGACAUGGGCAAGCCUUACAGGCAGGUGCUGCCCUGUACCGGGCUCUUAUCGCUCGUGGCUUUCCAGGCUCCCAGCUGGUUUACAGCAGCGCGAGGAGGGCACAGAAAGUCAAGGCCGUCAGUGUCAUUAAAAGCAACAUGAAAGUCAUGGUAUCACUGAUCCACCUAUCUUAACUGCUACCUGGUGAUUUAGAGCUUGCUUUCUUAUCAGAGGCCAGGAGACACCGGGGUUGUUCUCCGGCAAGCAGGGAGAAGAGAGAAAUUCAGCACAGCUCCCCUAUUUCCAUAACAUGAGGAAACUUGCUUAUUUGAACUUUGGAGAUAAAUUUAUCUUGAAAAGAAAAGAUAAAAAAAAAAAAAAGGCAGAAUCGAUCUUGAUGUCUAAAUUUUUUUAUUAUUAAUUUUAUUUAUUCUUUUUCUUCCUCUAUUGACCAAAUAAAUAGAUGGAUGAAAGUUCA